rnacentral:rRNA from 1 species
AUUGAACGCUGGCGGCAGGCCUAACACAUGCAAGUCGAGCGGAUGAAGGGAGCUUGCUCCUGGAUUCAGCGGCCGACGGGCGAGUAAUGCCUACGAAUCUGCCUGGUAGUUGGGGAUAACGUCCGGAAACGGGCGCUAAUACCGCAUACGUUCUGAGGGAGAAAGUGGGGGAUCUUCGGACCUCACGCUAUCAGAUGAGCCUAGGUCGGAUUAGCUAGUUGGUGGGGUAAAGGCCUACCAAGGCGACGAUCCGUAACUGGUCUGAGAGGAUGAUCAGUCACACUGGAACUGAGACACGGUCCAGACUCCUACGGGAGGCAGCAGUGGGGAAUAUUGGACAAUGGGCGAAAGCCUGAUCCAGCCAUGCCGCGUGUGUGAAGAAGGUCUUCGGAUUGUAAAGCACUUUUAGUUGGGAGGAAGGGCAGUAAGUUAAUACCUUGCUGUUUUGACGUUACCAACAGAAUAAGCACCGGCUAACUUCGUG